UACGUAGGGUGCAGGCGUUAAUCGGAAUUACUGGGCGUAAAGCGUGCGCAGGCGGUUUCUUAAGUCAGAUGUGAAAGCCCCGGGCUUAACCUGGGAACUGCGUUUGAAACUGGGAGACUCGAGUGUGGCAGAGGGGGGUGGAAUUCCACGUGUAGCAGUGAAAUGCGUAGAUAUGUGGAGGAACACCGAUGGCGAAGGCAGCCCCCUGGGCCGACACUGACGCUCAUGCACGAAAGCGUGGGGAGCAAACAGG
rnacentral:rRNA from 1 species